GCCCCAGUGGACUAAUGAUAAGGGCACUGGCCAUCCUAGGCCAGGGAUGUGCGGUUCGAGACCCUUCUGGGGUGA